GAGUUUGAUCCUGGCUCAGAUUGAACGCUAGCGGGAUGCCUUACACAUGCAAGUCGAACGGCAGCACGGACUUCGGUCUGGUGGCGAGUGGCGAACGGGUGAGUAAUGUAUCGGAACGUGCCCAGUAGCGGGGGAUAACUACGCGAAAGCGUAGCUAAUACCGCAUACGCCCUACGGGGGAAAGCAGGGGAUCGCAAGACCUUGCACUAUUGGAGCGGCCGAUAUCGGAUUAGCUAGUUGGUGGGGUAACGGCUCACCAAGGCGACGAUCCGUAGCUGGUUUGAGAGGACGACCAGCCACACUGGGACUGAGACACGGCCCAGACUCCUACGGGAGGCAGCAGUGGGGAAUUUUGGACAAUGGGGGAAACCCUGAUCCAGCCAUCCCGCGUGUGCGAUGAAGGCCUUCGGGUUGUAAAGCACUUUUGGCAGGAAAGAAACGUCGCGGGUUAAUACCCCGCGGAACUGACGGUACCUGCAGAAUAAGCACCGGCUAACUACGUGCCAGCAGCCGCGGUAAUACGUAGGGUGCAAGCGUUAAUCGGAAUUACUGGGCGUAAAGCGUGCGCAGGCGGUUCGGAAAGAAAGAUGUGAAAUCCCAGAGCUUAACUUUGGAACUGCAUUUUUAACUACCGGGCUAGAGUGUGUCAGAGGGAGGUGGAAUUCCGCGUGUAGCAGUGAAAUGCGUAGAUAUGCGGAGGAACACCGAUG
rnacentral:rRNA from 1 species